GAUCGGAGGGUCGUGAUCUAUGUGAAGCCGCAAGGGCCGCCCUCAGGUUUCUCUUUCCGCCCUAACGCCCCUCGCCUCUCCCACCACCGCUCUAUCUGCCUCUCCAGAAGGUUUCGAUCUCAUAGGAAUCCCAUCGCGCUUCUCUCUUCUCUUUACCCUUGCCUCGCCGUUUACCCUACAGAUAGAAAAGCUAUUCCAAGGGUUCAAGAAGGGGAUCAUCGAAGGAGACAGGAGAUGCAAGGGGGGGAGGAGGAUGAGGAAGAGGUUCUGCGGUGCCAAAUCAACGAAUGGUACCCCAUGUUCAAGCCUCAUACUAUUCGCACCCUCUUCCACCCCCUCCCCGAUCCCUUCCUCCGCUACCUCCUCGGUCUCAACCCCGUCUCCCCACCUCCCCACGACGACUCCCACAGCGACGACGACGAUGACGCGCCGCCGCCGUUCCUCCUUCCCCGCCCCGCCUCCGGCCGCGACCCGCUUCCUCGCCUCGCCGCCGGCAUCGACCCCACCUCCCUCCUCGACUGCUCCUCCCAGCUCUCCGUAUCCGACGAAGACGAAGCGGAAGCUGACUCCGCCCCGUCGUUUCCCGAGCUCGAGGCGGCGGUCGAGCGGUCCAUUGCCGCCCUGGGCGGCGCCGCCUUCCCCAAGCUGAACUGGAGUGCACCCAAGGACGCCGCCUGGAUCUCUGCCGACGGCACCCUUCGGUGCUCCUCCUUCGCCGACGUCGCCCUCCUCCUCCACUCCUCCGACUCCAUCGCCCACGACCUCUCUUCCCGGCCACUCCCCUCCUCCUCCUCCCCCCCUUUCACCUUUUACCUUGCCCUCCGCAAGUGGUAUCCUUCCUUCCGCCCCGAGAUGGAGUUCCGCUGCUUCGCCCGCCGCCGCUGCCUCAUAGCCAUAUCACAGCGCGAAGUCACCAACUUCUACCCGGCCCUUCUCGACCGCCGCCACCACCACAUCCUGCCCCUCAUCCAGGCCUUCUUCUCCGAGGUCGUGGGUCCCACGUUCGAGUCUGAGAGCUACACCUUCGACGUUUAUGUCACCAGUGACGGGCGGGUGAAGCUUAUCGACUUCAACCCAUGGCGCGCCUUCACAUUACCCCUUCUCUUUACCUGGGAGGAGUUGGAGGAGGAAGCAUUUAAUUCCGAGGAGGAAGAAGUAGACAAAGUGCAGGUAGAAGAAGAAGCAAGAUUGGUGGAGUUUCGGAUUGUCGAAAGCCAAUGUGGGGUGAGGCCAGGGUUGAAGACGGCUGUGCCUUACGACUACUUGGACACAGGGGAAGGAAGUGGGUGGGAUCAGUUCUUGAGGAGAGCCGACGAAGAGCUGAGGAAGCAGGCCAAGACAACUUUGCACCCCAGUGAUGAUGCUUAAAGAAGAACAAAAGAUCUUUCAACUUGAUUUCUUAUGGAUUUCUAACCAGGUUGUAGGUUUUAUUGCUACUGGAUGUUUGGCCUCAUUUCUAUCUUCCAGGGUGCGAAAUUAUGGGGGCUGGCUCUACUGAACUUUAUACCGGGCAAAGUCUGAGGACAGAUGUCAUGAGGAAUCAGUUGCCAACAAGCCGUUAACUACAUAUGUAGUUUUUUUUGUCGACCUGUGCCCUUGUUAAUCUUUAAGCAAACAAUUGUGCUGUGUUUUGGUUAAUCUAGACCCGCUAGUGUUACUUAUACUCGAGUUUAGUUUGCUUCAAACUUCUUUGGUGAAUGAUACAAAUUAACUGGAAGCUUUUCCAUGUAUGAUUUAUGUGCACUGCUGGAAUUGUUUUCAAUGUUUAGAAUAGCCCGUGGAUUGCUAUGUAAAUUUCUAAAUAAAAAGAAGACUCAUAUGUUGACACAA